UGCGCAGGCGGGACUGCAAGGUUGGAUGUGAAAUCCGAGGCUCAACCUCGGAACUGCAUCCAAAACUGUGGUUCUUGAGUGGAGCAGAGGUAAGCGGAAUUCCGAGUGUAGCGGUGAAAUGCGUAGAUAUUCGGAGGAACACCAGUGGCGAAGGCGGCUUACUGGGCUCUAACUGACGCUGAGGCACGAAAGCAUGGGUAGCAAACA
rnacentral:rRNA from 1 species